AAAAUGAGCAGACUUUCGUCAAUACAAAAAGUCGAAAUUUUAUAAGAAUUAAGAUUUUUUUUUUUGUUUUUUUUUUGGGUUGAGGAAAAAAGCUUGGAUCUUCUGAGAAUGAAGUUGAGUUUUUUUAAUGUCAGAAUCUUAAGAGACUUAAGUAAUAUUUCUUGACAAAAAAAGUUGCAAUAUUAUAAGAAAAAAAUGUUUUCCCCCCCCAUAAGAAAAAUGUCAUGAGGAUAAUGUCGAAAUGUUAUGAAGUUUGCACUGGAAAGUCCUCUUUUUGGAAGAAUUCUAUUUUUUUUUUUUUUUAAAGUCACAAAGGUGCAUUUUUCACACACACAAAAAAGCCCAAAUCAUGCAAGAAUAAAGUCGUAUAUUUGCUGAGAUAAAAAGUCAAAAUCUUGUCAGACUAUAGUUGUAUCUUUGAGAACCAAUCUUUUUUUUUAGUUGAACUUUGGCAAGAAUAAAUUCGAAACAUGUUUUUCAUAAAACAUCAAAUGAGUCAAAUUAAAUGAUUAACUGUAUUUUAUUAAA